ACGAGUUACAAGUCGGUCGACCGUGCUGGCGGAAACGCACGUGCACGUCGGCCGCAAAACCUCAUCCACACACCUGUGAACGUAUGGCCUUUGGGUCUUUGACCCGGGGGCAAACCCAUUUUUACCCACUCUGUUUGUAAAGGAAUGUACCUUGUGCUCAUGCGCAAAAAGUAA
rnacentral:misc_RNA from 1 species